rnacentral:rRNA from 1 species
GAAUCUUGCGCAAUGGGCGAAAGCCUGACGCAGCAACGCCGCGUGGGGGAUGAAGGCCUUCGGGUUGUAAACCCCUUUCAGGAGGGAAGAAAUUGACGGUACCUCCAAAAGAAGGACCGGCCAACUCCGUGCCAGCAGCCGCGGUAAUACGGAGGGUGCAAGCGUUAAUCGGAAUUACUGGGCGUAAAGCGCGCGUAGGCGGUUUGUUAAGUCAGAUGUGAAAUCCCCGGGCUCAACCUGGGAAUGGCAUUUGAGACUGGCAGGCUAGAGUGUGGUAGAGGUGAGUGGAAUUUCAGGUGUAGCGGUGAAAUGCGUAGAGAUCUGAAGGAACAUCAGUGGCGAAGGCGACUCACUGGGCCAUUACUGACGCUGAGGUGCGAAAGCGUGGGUAGCAAACAGG